GAACUUGCGCGGGCGGCCCUGUAAGCC
rnacentral:sRNA from 1 species